rnacentral:rRNA from 1 species
GACGAACGCUGGCGGCGUGCUUAACACAUGCAAGUCGAACGGAAAGGCCCUGCUUUUGUGGGGUGCUCGAGUGGCGAACGGGUGAGUAACACGUGAGUAACCUGCCCUUGACUUUGGGAUAACUUCAGGAAACUGGGGCUAAUACCGGAUAGGAGCUCCUGCUGCAUGGUGGGGGUUGGAAAGUUUCGGCGGUUGGGGAUGGACUCGCGGCUUAUCAGCUUGUUGGUGGGGUAGUGGCUUACCAAGGCUUUGACGGGUAGCCGGCCUGAGAGGGUGACCGGCCACAUUGGGACUGAGAUACGGCCCAGACUCCUACGGGAGGCAGCAGUGGGGAAUAUUGCACAAUGGGCGGAAGCCUGAUGCAGCAACGCCGCGUGCGGGAUGACGGCCUUCGGGUUGUAAACCGCGUUCGCCUGUGACGAAGCGUGAGUGACGGUAAUGGGUAAAGAAGCACCGGCUAACUACGUG